CUCUCCCUCACGUUUUUUUUCUGGAAAAAAGAACAAGCUUAGGAGAAUGAAUUUUCUCCUCUCUCACGGUGAAUAACAACAACAACAAUCUCUGUCUUUCUCUUGCUGCGAUCAGUAACAACGACGACAACUCUCUCUCGAUCUCUCUUCGCUCGCGGUGACAACGACAACAGCAACUUUUCUCUCUCAAUCGGUACUCGUCUCUCACUCUUAGAACAACAACAACAAGCUUUUUCUUGGAUUCGCGGUUGAACAGCAACAACAAAGUUACUCUUUCUCACUCGCGAUUCUCUCUCAAGCUUUCUUAGUGAACAGUAAUCGCAACAACUGCACACUCGGUUUGAUGGAUUGAAGACAAACUGAAGAGGAUAAACAAAAGUGUAUUUGCAGUGAGGAUUAUCAGUGAUAUUGAGAGUAAAAGCAGAAAUGAUUUACCUACGGCGAGGAGAUGUUCGCCGUAUUAUUGUUAAGUUCUGGAAAUUUGCUGCGAGUUGCAAUUCUGAACUAUUGCGAAUUUUUGCUGUGAUGCUGAACCGUUUGCGAAUUGUUGUUGCUGCUGAAUUUUUGAACCUUAUGCUUGCUGCUAGUUGUUAACAACCUUGAAUGGCUUUUGAUGAAGGUGAUGCCAUAACACCUCUUUGGAUUGUGGGAGAAAAUUGAAGAUGGAACUUCAAGUUGUUGAAAGCUUGAAGAUGAAGAUCUUCAAGUAAGGUAUGAAGAACCACUACCUUUUCACUUUUUCUCUCUUUUUUUGUAGAAUAACACUUAGAAGUAUGAGAAUUCUAUGUGUUACUCUUCCCCUCUUUUUUUCGUUUUUUUUAUUUGUGUGUCUCUCCUCUAUUUAUAGAGGAAAAAGUGAGGGAUAAUUUUGGUCAUUUUUGCACCCAAGCUUAGUCCUUAAGCUCACUUAGUUACUAAGUUUUCAUCAUUGCAAAGAAUAUUCUUUCCAAAAUAAUCAUUGCCAAAGUUCCUUAGUUGUUAAACUUUCUUAAUGGCCAAGUAUCACAAUUUGUGCACAUGGAGGAAUAUGCACAUGGGAUGGAAAUAUCUUCAUAACUCUUGCAAGAAAGUUCCACGACAUAGUCUUGUCUUCAUGUCAUAAAAUUGGUAGUCUCUAAGUAUAGCACUUAUGACAUAAUAUAUUCCUCUUUGACUUUCUUUGAAUUUUUGACUUUUUGACUUCUUUGACUUGAUUUGGGCUUUUGGGCCCCUCUUGAAUUAUUCUUGUUGAACUUUUGCUAAUUCCACCUUUUUUUGUUUCUUUUUCAUGUGACAUGAGCCUUUGAAGAAAGGAUUGAAGAAACUUGGACUUGAAGAAUGGAAGCUUGAAGAUUGAAGAAUUCAAGAAAGUCUUGAAGCUUUAUUUUUCUUUUGUUCUUAUAAUUCCAACUUUUGAAUUUAUAUGAACUUGGACUUUGUAUGAAUAAAACUUUGAAUGUAAUCUUGAAUUUUGAA